CCGGCACCAUGACUCGGGCUGGAGCUCUCCUGAUGCUCUGUGCUGCCUUGAUCCUCAUCGCGGGUGGAAAGUGUGAUGACAUCUGCCCAGCCUUGAGGGACACUGUUGACCUGUUCAUAUCAGGAAGCCAUGAUGAGUAUAUUGAACAAGUUGAAAAGUAUAAC